rnacentral:rRNA from 1 species
GGAGACCUUUUCGCGGCGACUCAAAACACCGUGCAGUCCAGGGGAUUUAUCCCCCGGGCCACGUCACGACUGUGCUGGAAGGGCCCCCCGGGGCCCAAUCAGCAGCCGGGCGGAACGCAGUUCAGCCUCGGUCCACAGAUCAGACCGUGACGGCCACCUCGACCGUCGAGGUGGUUCAGAUAUGACCGGAGCCCCCGCUGUGCGAGCGGGGGGACGCCUCGUCCGUAGGUGAACCUGCGGAAGGAUCAUUACCGAGAUAGGGUCCCCUGGGCCCGACCCUCCACCCGAUGCGUACCUACCGUUUGUUGCUUUGGCGGGCCGCGGGGCCCCCGUGCCCCCCGUCGACCCCGGUGGACGAGCGCCCGCCCGAGACCCCCUUAAUUCAGUCGAUCAGUGACGUCCGAGCAACGAUAAAAUCAGUUAAAACUUUCAACAACGGAUCUCUUGGCUCUGGCAUCGAUGAAGAACGCAGCGAAAUGCGAUAAGUAAUGUGAAUUGCAGAAUUCAGUGAAUCAUCGAAUCUUUGAACGCACAUUGCGCCCCCUGGUAUUCCGGGGGGCAUGCCUGUCCGAGCGUCAUUACACCCCUCGAGCUUCGCUCGGUCUUGGGGCCCGCCCCCCCGGGCGCCCCCGAAAAUUAGCGGCGACGUGUCCGGCCCUCCAGCGUAUCAAAACAUCUCGUUCCGCUGAGACGGGUCGGGCGUGCCCGCCGGGCAACCCCUCAUCUUCCACGAUUGACCUCGGAUCAGGUAGGGAUACCCGCUGAACUUAAGCAUAUC